rnacentral:rRNA from 1 species
GAUGAACGCUGGCGGCGUGCCUAAUACAUGCAAGUCGAGCGAACGGACGAGAAGCUUGCUUCUCUGAUGUUAGCGGCGGACGGGUGAGUAACACGUGGAUAACCUACCUAUAAGACUGGGAUAACUUCGGGAAACCGGAGCUAAUACCGGAUAAUAUUUUGAACCGCAUGGUUCAAAAGUGAAAGACGGUCUUGCUGUCACUUAUAGAUGGAUCCGCGCUGCAUUAGCUAGUUGGUAAGGUAACGGCUUACCAAGGCAACGAUGCAUAGCCGACCUGAGAGGGUGAUCGGCCACACUGGAACUGAGACACGGUCCAGACUCCUACGGGAGGCAGCAGUAGGGAAUCUUCCGCAAUGGGCGAAGGCCUGACGGAGCAACGCCGCGUGAGUGAUGAAGGUCUUCGGAUCGUAAAACUCUGUUAUUAGGGAAGAACAUAUGUGUAAGUAACUGUGCACAUCUUGACGGUACCUAAUCAGAAAGCCACGGCUAACUACGU